UACGAAGGGGGCUAGCGUUGUUCGGAUUUACUGGGCGUAAAGGGCGCGUAGGCGGGCUGAUCAGUCAGGGGUGAAAUCCCAAGGCUCAACCUUGGAACUGCCUUUGAUACUGUCGGUCUUGAGUUCGAGAGAGGUAAGUGGAACUGCGAGUGUAGAGGUGAAAUUCGUAGAUAUUCGCAAGAACACCAGUGGCGAAGGCGGCUUACUGGCUCGAAACUGACGCUGAGGUGCGAAAGCGUGGGGAGCAAACAGG
rnacentral:rRNA from 1 species